rfam:Physcomitrella patens subsp. patens PHYPAscaffold_154 genomic scaffold, whole genome shotgun sequence.
CUGGAUGUCCAGCAAGGGUGUGUGGCUCUAUAAUCUAGAGCUAAAGCUAGAAAUCCACUGCUGUUGCGAUCGAUUGUAGAGUCAUACACCUCUACUGGCCUUCCAG